AAAGGGGAACAGCUAGGUGGGCACGCUCGAAAAGAUUUGAACCAAUUAUGUUCAUGGAAACCUUGUCAUUAUUUGGACUAUUAAAAGAACGUGGCAGGAGAGGAGUAGACAGCAGAGAUGGGGACUCGAGUCACUGUGACUUGGACUCGAGUCGACUCGAGUCGCUGUUUGAAUGACUUGUGACUUGACAAAAAAUAAAAUAACUUGAGACUCGACUUGGAUUUGGAAAUUAAAGACUCGGGACUUGACUUGAGACACGAUGACUUGAAUGACUUCAGUGUUUUUAUUUAGUUUAUGUUUUCAGUUUGAAUAUCAAAUUAAUAAUACAUUUAAAAUAAUAAUAUCGAUAACACGGUAGGAGCGCAGGCUGAGAAUGGCGUUGUCUUGAUUGGAUCACUACCCUGUCAAUCAAUCAGUCGUGCCCGAUCUACGUACAUAACGUGUUUAUUGGAGUAUCACGCCCCAUCACAUGAGUCAUGAGACAUGCACAAACAUGUCAGCGGGAGCGGUACCUUCGGCUAUCGUAAUUACCUUUAUAACGGCAAAAGACGGACAGCACAGUGUAAGAUAUGCAACAGAAACAUUUCAGACAGCCAGAGGACAACUUCCAACUUUGUCCGUCAUUUGAAAAGCCAUUCUGCCCAGUAUGCAGAGUACGAAAAGAUGAGAAACACCUGCACUGAUGCAGCGCAGCCUGCAAUUUCCCAGUUCACAUUUGCAACUCAAAUGUGUCAGACACUGUCGGCAGACGUUAAUUUGUUUAGGUUGAGCUGUCAAUAAAUCAUUGUAUGAGGUAAUUUCUUUUUUGUUUGAUUCCAUGGUGUAUUUGUAUUGACAGUGCAAAUCCAAAUUAUUGUCAGAUUUUUUAAACAGGUUAGACACAUUGGACAAUGAUGGCUACUUAAAGUUACUUAUAUCUGUCACGUCUCGUCACCGGGUGCUUUAUUAUGUCUAGGUUACCAUGGUUUCUGUUCGUGUCGCUCCUCCCCUCCUGUGUAGCCUCACGAUCAAUGUAAUGACUGUAUUUAAGUCCUGUCUGCCCUGCACUCCCUGUCAGAUCAUUGAUGUCGUCGCGUCUGUUGUCGUACUGUCUUGUUGUUGUCAUGUCCUGCUGCCUUCUUCUCUCACGUCCCGGUCAGUCAAGUUAUUGUUUUGUUAAGUCAUGUCAGUUUGCCGAGUCUGUUCGUUUAUUUUCUCCAAUAAACCCUGGUCCAAGCUGCA